UAGAGUUUGAUCCUGGCUCAGAUUGAACGCUGGCGGCAUGCCUUACACAUGCAAGUCGAACGGCAGCGCGGACUUCGGUCUGGCGGCGAGUGGCGAACGGGUGAGUAAUAUAUCGGAACGUGCCCUAGAGUGGGGGAUAACGCAGCGAAAGUUGCGCUAAUACCGCAUACGAUCUAAGGAUGAAAGUGGGGGAUCGCAAGACCUCAUGCUCUGGGAGCGGCCGAUAUCUGAUUAGCUAGUUGGUAGGGUAAAAGCCUACCAAGGCUCCGAUCAGUAGCUGGUCUGAGAGGACGACCAGCCACACUGGGACUGAGACACGGCCCAGACUCCUACGGGAGGCAGCAGUGGGGAAUUUUGGACAAUGGGCGCAAGCCUGAUCCAGCAAUGCCGCGUGAGUGAAGAAGGCCUUCGGGUUGUAAAGCUCUUUUGUCAGGGAAGAAACGGUGCGGGCUAAUAUCCUGUGCUAAUGACGGUACCUGAAGAAUAAGCACCGGCUAACUACGUGCCAGCAGCCGCGGUAAUA
rnacentral:rRNA from 1 species